AACUUUCGGCAAUGGAUCACUUGGUUCUGGCAUCGAUGAAGAACGCAGCGAAAUGCGAUAAGUAGUGUGAAUUGCAGAAUUCAGUGAAUCAUCGAAUUUUUGAACGCACAUUGCGCCCCUUGGUAUCCCGAGGGGCAUGCCUGUUCGAGCGUCAUUUCAACCCCUCAAGCUUUGCUUGGUAUUGGGCAUCAUUAUUUCUUUUAAUUAAGGGUAAUGUGCCUUAAAUGUAGGCAGCGGCAAGUACUAGUUCCAGGCGUAGCAGUUAAUAACAUUUCGCUUUAGGAUUUUGGUAUAUUGUUAGCUAUAUAGCUAGUCUUACUAUUAUUUGACCUCGGAUCAGGUAGGGAUACCCGCUGAACUUAAGCAUAUCAAUAAGCGGAGGCU
rnacentral:misc_RNA from 1 species